GAAUUUGGACCGCCAUACUCGCUGUCUCAACGAAGAGUCAUACAAUGAAAUAAAGUUUCGACGGAUGCAAUGGUAUCUUUUGAAGUCUAGCAAACAAUCUUUCCGAAAGAACAAGAAAUUUCAUCCCAACUUGUCUAUUUUGGCAUGCUUCGAAGAUCUGGACCUAUCACAAUUUAUAAAAUAAAAAAAAUAAAAAAAAUAGAUCUAUCGCCAAAGUCAUGUUUAUAUCACUAUUUUUGGAUUUUUGUCCAUUGAGAUAUAAACUUUGAGGUUAACCCUCUUUUGGCCUUUUCACCACCAACC
rnacentral:lncRNA from 1 species